GCAAAACUCCUAGCCCGAACAACAAAACAUCUCAACAAAUAAGACUUAUCCCACAAAACUUAAAACUAAAACAUUCUACCAUCCAAGUAUAGGUGAUAGAAAAGAU
rnacentral:rRNA from 1 species